rnacentral:rRNA from 1 species
GACGAACGCUGGCGGCGUGCCUAAUACAUGCAAGUUGAGCGCUGAAGGUUGGUACUUGUACCAACUGGAUGAGCAGCGAACGGGUGAGUAACGCGUGGGGAAUCUGCCUUUGAGCGGGGGACAACAUUUGGAAACGAAUGCUAAUACCGCAUAAAAACUUUAAACACAAGGUUUAAGUUUGAAAGAUGCAAUUGCAUCACUCAAAGAUGAUCCCGCGUUGUAUUAGCUAGGUGGUGAGGUAAAGGCUCACCCAGGCGAUGAUACAUAGCCGACCUGAGAGGGUGAUCGGCCACCUUGGGACUGAGACACGGCCCAAACCCCUACGGGAGGCAGCAGUAGGGAAUCUUCGGCAAUGGACGAAAGUCUGACCGAGCAACGCCGCGGGAGUGAAGAAGGGUUUCGGAUCGUAAAACUCUGUUGGUAGAGAAGAACGUUGGUGAGAGUGGAAAGCUCAUCAAUUGACGGUAACUACCCGGAAAGGGACGGCUAACUACGUG